rnacentral:tRNA from 1 species
GGGCCUAUGGUCUAGUGGUUAUGACGUCUCCUUUACACGGAGAAGGUCCCCAGUUCGAAUCUGGGUAGGCCCA